UACGUAGGGUGCAAGCGUUGUCCGGAAUUAUUGGGCGUAAAGAGCUCGUAGGCGGUCUGUCACGUCGGCUGUGAAAACCCGAGGCUCAACCUCGGGCCUGCAGUCGAUACGGGCAAACUAGAGUACUGCAGGGAGACUGGAAUUCCUGGUGUAGCGGUGAAAUGCGCAGAUAUCAGGAGGAACACCGGUGGCGAAGGCGGGUCUCUGGGCAGUAACUGACGCUGGAGGAGCGAAAGCGUGGGGAGCGAACGGG
rnacentral:rRNA from 1 species